ensembl:lncRNA
GUUUGUGCCACCGAGAGCCCGAGUCUGUCACGCAGACAUCCUCAUUACAUAAUCCUGCCACUUGGGCGGCUUCGCUGUUUCUGUUCCCCCUCCCCAACUUGCUCCCCACCCUGUUUUUUUCUACUACUGUCUUCUUUUUGGUGUGAAGGACUAGAAAGAAUCUUGCAAGAUAUUGGAGCCUUUAGAAUUUAUGGUUCUGUUUCCGUGGUUGUCACCUCCGUUCUACAUCAAAUUUAAGGCUCAUUUCUUAAGGAUGUCUCUAUUUUCUGCUUUAUUUGCACAUUGAUGGCUCUGCUGCUCGGCUGACCUCAGCCGCCUGCGUCAGAUACAGAAUUGUGUUAAUAAGUGAGGGAAGGCUAAGGCUGAUCAUUAGCAGGCAGACGGAAUUCACAGAGCAUCUGGCGGCCUUUCUUCCUGUUUAUAAGAAAGGUUUUAUAUUCUCGCUAGAUGCAAAGGACAUGGAGCACGCUGUUCAGUGAUUCUGGCGUGCUUGGGGGUAGCUGUUUAUAGUAUUCUCCCAGCUCCAAUCUUCAGUUGCUGUGCAGGAGGACAUUUCCUCCUGAACAAAUAUAUCAGUGCAGCUCAGAUUCUGGAAGAAAAUUGCCUCACCUGGCAGAGCCCUCAUUUUGUGUGGGAACAUCAGCUUUGUGUAAAGAAGGCUGUCAUCCCUUCAACCUUUGGGUAGCUGUGACCUACUUCCUUGCUGUCUGGGCACCCACUGUAGCAGCCUUUGUAGCAUCAGUAGAAAAGGGAAGAAUUAGUCUACAGAGGAUGCCUCCAACCCUACUGGCAGGAACCUGGAAGUGACAGGAAUCUAACAGCACAUUAAAACUUCAAAACAAAGCCGUGAACUCUAGCAGUGUUUCUACCUUGAAGACAGAGCAUGGGAGAGAGAGUCAAGAAAACAAAGAUUUGGAACCAAACAGUUCAUCUUGCAGUUGUCUUAAAGGUACAAGUUCCCUGUUAUCUUUCUUUAUGGAGUUGGCAAAUGGAAUGAAGAACCUUAUGCAUGCUAGGCAAGUGUUUUACCAAGUGAUUAAUUUCACUUUCAGUGCCUUCCUUCCCGAGCCGAAGUGCUUCUGUAGAGACUAAUUCAGUGAAACCUGUUUAGGGGAUCAUCCCUGCUAGACAGACAGCUGCGAGGGGCAUCCGCUUCCCAGCAUGGAUUUCAGAUUAUGACCAAUGAGGAGCCGGAGCUAAGGAACACCUGUCAGCGAUGUUUGCUGCAAGGAGACCAGCUCUUUAAUCGAAUUUCAUUGUACUUCAGAAAAAGGUUUAUUUUAAAUGUGGCGUCUGCUUUUAUGAUUCAUUCCUCUCAGCUGAGACAUCACUUUGGGGCUUAUUUAUGAUGUUGUUCUAGGGUGAAACGAGAAACUGCAAGAAAGUAUUUCAAAAGGCGGCCUUUCCCAGACAUUCAAUUAGCAACCUUGUCAUGUGGGAAAAUAAAAAAAGCAAUGGAAAUCUUUAGUUUUUGUGUGUGAAUAUAAUUAUGAUAGGGAUCCUUCUGAACACACUUUAGAGUGUUGAAGCUGGAUAGUAAAUGCUCUCUGUGAAGUCUGGGGAACUUUCCUUAUGGAAAUCCAUCUCGCUUAUCUGUGAUGUGAGCAGAGCAAACUAUCAUUGAUGCUGAUGGAUUCUGAAAGGCCAUGCUGACUUUCAACUUGGCCCUAAUUGGAGGCCCUGCUAAGCCCCAUAAUACCAGGUACCUUCUCACAGCUGCAGACCAUGGAGUGUAACUAUCAGAAGACAAACUUCACUGUGCAAACUGUAAUUUAAUGGUAUAACUGUGUGCAGCCCAGAAUAUCAGUUAAUUUUCAAAACAUUUUAUUCUACAGCAAUUAGCUCAGGUCCUGGAGGGCAAAAUGACAAGAGGUUACUCGUUCACUAUGUAUUUAAUUAAUUGAAAAAUGCUCCAAUUGCCUUUACAGUUGUUAUUAGAGAGUGGAAUCAGUGUUGCCAGCGCUCAACCAUAAUUGGAACCCCAGGGAAUUAAAUAUUUAGCAUUAGUAAUGUAACGGCACUUAGGACACAAAUUUCUAUUUUCGUAAUGAAAGCUAUACACUGUGAGUGCAAGCGGCUGAAAGGACAGCUGUGACAAGCGAAACGGCCUGGGACAUUUCAAUAAGACACCUCAUUGGACAGCAAGUCUUACCACAUUAUGCGUUUGUAAGAGACCUGCAAGUUUAAUUCCCACAAGGAACUCGUAGCCCAAGUCUUUAGCGUCCUAAUUGCAUGCAGGAUGAACGGUUGGGCAAAUGUCUUGCCAUAAGUGGCUGAAAUUCAUCCUGCUUUCCAAACAAUCGCAUAUAAGUUCGUGCCUUUGUCAAUUUAAAAAUACUGAGACUGUCAGGAAAUAAGGAGCUUGUUUGUUUUCCAUUUAAUUAUAUUUUAAGCACACAUGCUUUCUGUGCUACAAUGAGAAAAGUUAGCUGUUGGUUCUAAUGAGCCGCAGUGUAGAUGCUGGAGACCCUGAGGGAUUCACUCUGUAAAUUAGCUGGAUAAAAAGUACUUGGUUAGGAUAUAGUUGAUGGCUGAGCUGUUCGGAGAACCAGUUAUGGUACUGUCUCUCACUGCUCUUUCAUUCUAAACAGGCCCUGUAGAGACUUUAACAGCUGCCCAUUAAAGCUGCUCAACUUGUCAAAAUGUAUUAUAUUACUCCACUAAUAAAUAGUAUUAAAGGGUAUUUGACUUCACCUCUCAUUUUCAAAGGGGAUCAGGUUGAUAAACACAACUGGCUUAAGCUGGUCUUAUUUUAAUUUGUUUAUGUCAGCUAAGUAAUAUUGAAGGGCCAUGUUUUAAAUUUGCAAACAUUACCUUCCCAGGCAGGCAAAACUUCCCAAAUAUGAUAUACAGUGGAAACAAGGAAUUGAGACACUUAUUGUAGACUGUUUCUCAUUGAAAGGUGCCUGAUUUUGACAUUGUUAGGCCACUUUAAAGAACCUGAGAGCCCUUGACUAAACUGACAACCUCAGAAAAAUAAAAGUCACAAGAUGAAUAAGUAAUGUCACAAGUUUCUGUUGAUUUUCCAUUGUUCCUGUGUCUAUUUUGGAUUAUUCAAAGUGAUCGUGAUUUUUUUUUAUCAAUUUUUAAGCAUUUUUCAAAACAAUGCAUGUUUACUUUAAAAAAAUACUUUAUUUGAUAAAGUCUUCCUUAGACCCUUUCCCAACUCUGCCUGCCUGCCUGCUAGUCUCCUUUGAUAAUAGGUUUUUUUUUUCUUUUGGUCUUGUUUUUUUGCAUGUGCAUGUGUAUAUAUGUGGUGUGCAUAUGUAUGUAUCUGUGAGUAUGAAGGCCAGAGAUUGACAGUUGACAUAAAAUGUCGUCUUAAUCACUUCCCACCAUUUUUAUUGGGGCAGGUCUCUCAGUUGAACCUGAAGCUUGAUGAUCAGCUCAUUCACCCAGCCAGCUUGCUCUGGCUGGGGUCUGAACCUCCCAUGCUAGGCAAGUCUUCUACCACUGAGCUACAACUCCCAGCACUUUUGUUUUCUUUUGAGACAGGAUCUCACACAGUCACUCAGGCUACAACUGACUCAGCAGCUCAGAAGGCCUCAGCCUCCCAAUAGCUGGGAUUAUAGGCUGUGGUUUGGAUGUCUCUGAUACAGACAGUUCUUCUGGAAUAUUCCAUUUGUAGACUGCCUGGCCUUGUACCAUUCCAUUUUCUGUUUAACUACUUUCAGGCUAUGAAUUUUCCUCUAAGCUCGGCAUUGGUUUCAUCGACCAGCCCUCCUGCUGCAACCUCUGUGUACAAGGCUUGGAGGUGACUGUCCUUCCUGCUGGAUUCUAGUCAUAAAGGAACUGAAGGCCAGAGGGAUUUGAGGGGCUUCUCCAGAUAAGAC